rnacentral:rRNA from 1 species
UACGGGGGGGGCAAGCGUUGUUCGGAAUUACUGGGCGUAAAGGGCGUGUAGGUGGCCAACUAAGUCCGACGUGAAAUCCCCAGGCUUAACCUGGGAACUGCGUCGGAUACUGGAUGGCUUGAAUUCGGGAGAGGGAUGCGGAAUUCCAGGUGUAGCGGUGAAAUGCGUAGAUAUCUGGAGGAACACCGGUGGCGAAGGCGGCAUCCUGGACCGGCAUUGACGCUGAGGCGCGAAAGCUAGGGGAGCAAACGGG